UACGUAGGGGGCAAGCGUUGUCCGGAAUCAUUGGGCGUAAAGCGCGUGUAGGCGGCUCGAUAAGUCUGUUCUGAAAGUCCAGGGCUCAACCCUGGGAUGCGGAUGGAUACUGUCGAGCUCGAGUCCGGAAGAGGCGAGUGGAAUUCCUGGUGUAGCGGUGAAAUGCGCAGAUAUCAGGAGGAACACCAAUGGCGAAGGCAGCUCGCUGGGACGUGACUGACGCUGAGGCGCGAAAGCUAGGGGAGCGAACGGG
rnacentral:rRNA from 1 species